rnacentral:tRNA from 1 species
GCGGCCAUAGCAUAAAGGACAGUGUUCACGGUCUGGUCGACCCGUGGCGGUGCGGGUUCGAGUCCCGCUGGCCGCUCCA